rnacentral:rRNA from 1 species
UACGUAGGGUGCGAGCGUUGUCCGGAUUUAUUGGGCGUAAAGAGCUCGUAGGCGGUUCGAUAAGUCGGACGUGAAAUCUCCACGCUCAACGUGGAGGGGCCGUUCGAUACUGUCGUGACUCGAGUCCGGUAGGGGAGUGUGGAAUUCCCGGUGUAGCGGUGAAAUGCGCAGAGAUCGGGAGGAACACCCGUAGCGAAGGCGGCACUCUGGGCCGGUACUGACGCUGAGGAGCGAAAGCGUGGGGAUCAAACAGG